GGGUGAGUAACACGUAGGUAACCUGCCCCGGAGCGGGGGAUAACAUUUGGAAACAGAUGCUAAUACCGCAUAACAACAAAAGCCACAUGGCUUUUGUUUGAAAGAUGGCUUUGGCUAUCACUCUGGGAUGGACCUGCGGUGCAUUAGCUAGUUGGUAAGGUAACGGCUUACCAAGGCGAUGAUGCAUAGCCGAGUUGAGAGACUGAUCGGCCACAAUGGAACUGAGACACGGUCCAUACUCCUACGGGAGGCGGCAGUAGGGAAUCUUCCACAAUGGGCGCAAGCCUGAUGGAGCAACACCGCGUGAGUGAAGAAGGGUUUCGGCUCGUAAAGCUCUGUUGUUGGAGAAGAACGUGCGUGAGAGUAACUGUUCACGCAGUGACGGUAUCCAACCAGAAAGUCACGGCUAACUACGUGCCAGCAACCGCGGUAAUACGUAGGUGGCAAGCGUUAUCCGGAUUUAUUGGGCGUAAAGCGAGCGCAGGCGGUUGCUUAGGUCUGAUGUGAAAGCCUUCGGCUUAACCGAAGAAGUGCAUCGGAAACCGGGCGACUUGAGUGCAGAAGAGGACAGUGGAACUCCAUGUGUAGCGGUGGAAUGCGUAGAUAUAUGGAAGAACACCAGUGGCGAAGGCGGCUGUCUGGUCUGCAACUGACGCUGAGGCUCGAAAGCAUGGGUAGCGAACAGGAUUAGAUACCCUGGUAGUCCAUGCCGUAAACGAU
rnacentral:rRNA from 1 species